rnacentral:rRNA from 1 species
AGUUAACGUCAAGACUCAGGGGUAUUAGCCCUAAGCUUUUCUUCACAAUUGAAAGUGCUUUACAACCCGCAGGCCUUCUUCACACACGCGGUAUUGCUGGAUCAGGCUUUCGCCCAUUGUCCAAUAUUCCCCA